ensembl:snRNA U6 U6 spliceosomal RNA
UGGGAAGAUUAGCAUGGCCCUUGUGCAAAGAUGACACACAAAUUCGUGAAGCGUUCCAUAUUUUG